rnacentral:tRNA from 1 species
GCCCACGUAGCUCAGUGGUAGAGCACUCCCUUGGUAAGGGAGAGGUCGAGUGUUCAAUCCACUCCGUGGGCA